GUGUGCCUACCAGCCGCCUCUGUCGCGUGCCAUCCUUCACCCUUGUCUAUGAAUACCUUUUGUUAUCCCUCGGCAAGAUUCGCUUUGCAAUCUCGCCGAACGGGACCUUCAAAACUCUUGUAAUAAGCAUUAUAUUUUCUGAUACCUUAUAAAAUAAGUAACAACUUUCAACAAUGGAUCUCUUGGUUCUGGCAUCGAUGAAGAACGCAGCGAAAUGCGAUAAGUAGUGUGAAUUGCAGACUUUAGUGAAUCAUCGAAUCUUUGAACGCACAUUGCGCCCCUUGGUAUUCCAUUGGGCAUGCCUGUUCGAGCGUCAUUUACACCCUCAAGCUCUGCUUGGUGUUGGGCGUCUGUUUGUACGUUAUGUGCGGACUCGCCCCAAAAUCAUUGGCAGCGGCUCCUGUCAGCUUCUUGCGCAGCACUUGCGCUUCUAGAAGUGUUGGCUAGGGCUAGCAUCCAUCAAGAACCCCCCAGUUUGACCUCGAAUCAGGUAGGGAUACCCGCUGAACUUAAGCAUAUCAAUAA
rnacentral:misc_RNA from 1 species